CCUACGGGCGGCAGCAGUGAGGAAUAUUGGUCAAUGGACGAGAGUCUGAACCAGCCAAGUAGCGUGAAGGAUGACUGCCCUAUGGGUUGUAAACUUCUUUUAUAAAGGAAUAAAACGAGGCACGUGUGCCUUUUUGCAUGUACUUUAUGAAUAAGGAUCGGCUAACUCCGUGCCAGCAGCCGCGGUAAUACGGAGGAUCCGAGCGUUAUCCGGAUUUAUUGGGUUUAAAGGGAGCGUAGAUGGGUUGUUAAGUCAGUUGUGAAAGUUUGCGGCUCAACCGUAAAAUUGCAAUUGAUACUGGCAGUCGUGAGUACAGUUGAGGUAGGCGGAAUUCGUGGUGUAGCGGUGAAAUGCUUGGAUAUCACGAAGAACCCCGAUUGCGAAGGCAGCUUACUAAACUGUGACUGACAUUGAUGCUCGAAAGUGUGGGUAUCAAACAGGAUUAGAUACCCCAGUAGUC
rnacentral:rRNA from 1 species